CCUACGGGAGGCUGCAGUGAGGAAUAUUGGUCAAUGGGCGUAAGCCUGAACCAGCCAAGUCGCGUGAGGGAUGAAGGUUCUAUGGAUCGUAAACCUCUUUUAUCAGGGAAUAAAGUGCGGGACGUGUCCCCUUUUGCAUGUACCUUAUGAAUAAGGAUCGGCUAACUCCGUGCCAGCAGCCGCGGUAAUACGGAGGAUCCGAGCGUUAUCCGGAUUUAUUGGGUUUAAAGGGUGCGCAGGCGGUCUUUUAAGUCAGCGGUGAAAGCCAGUGGCUCAACCACGGAACUGCCGUUGAAACUGGCAGGCUGGAGUUGGUUUGAAGCAGGCGGAAUGCGUGGUGUAGCGGUGAAAUGCUUAGAUAUCGCGCAGAACCCCGAUUGCGAAGGCAGCAUGCCAGGCCAUGACUGACGCUGAUGCACGAAAGCGUGGGGAUCGAACAGGAUUAGAUACCCCAGUAGUC
rnacentral:rRNA from 1 species